GGAUCCGGACAUAGCUAGAUUUCUGACUGCAGUCCUCAAGAUCAAGCCACCCAUUAAGUCUAUUACUCCGCCAUGGGAUCUCCCUCUGGUCCUGAAGGCCCUUAAAGCAGAUCCUUUUGAACCUAUGGCAUCAAUUUCCUGUCAUCUUCUCACGAUCAAGACAGUUCUACUAGUAGCCCUAGCCUCUGGUAGAAGGGUUUCUGAUCUUCAGGCUCUUUCGGCUCGAGAACCUUUUACGAUAUUUCAUAAGGACAGAGUCAUCCUGAGAACGGUUCCAGAAUUCCGCCCUAAGGUAACUUCAGAAUUCCAUAUGAAUGAAGAAAUAAUCCUUCCAGCAUUAAGUACAGAAGAAUCUAAUAACG